CUACGGAACUCCUACGGGAGGCAGCAGUGGGGAAUUUUGGACAAUGGGCGCAAGCCUGAUCCAGCCAUGCCGCGUGCGGGAAGAAGGCCUUCGGGUUGUAAACCGCUUUUGUCAGGGAAGAAACGCUCUGGGCUAAUACCUCGGGGUAAUGACGGUACCUGGAGAAUAAGCACCGGCUAACUACCUGCCAGCAGCCGCGGUAAUACGUAGGGUGCAAGCGUUAAUCGGAAUUACUGGGCGUAAAGCGUGCGCAGGCGGUUAUGCAAGACAGAUGUGAAAUCCCCGGGCUUAACCUGGGAACUGCAUUUGUGACUGCAUGGCUAGAGUGCGGCAGAGGGGGAUGGAAUUCCGCGUGUAGCAGUGAAAUGCGUAGAUAUGUGGAGGAAUACCGAUGGCGAAGGCAGCCCCCUGGGAUAACACUGACGCUCAUGCACGAAAGCGUGGGGAGCAAACAGGAUUAGAUACCCUGGUAGUCCUCUUCGA
rnacentral:rRNA from 1 species